rnacentral:rRNA from 1 species
GACGAACGCUGGCGGCAUGCUUAACACAUGCAAGUCGAACGGUGACCUCGAGAGCUCGCUCUUGGGUGAACAGUGGCGAACGGGUGAGUAACACGUGAGUAACCUGCCCCUGACUCUGGAAUAAGCGCUGGAAACGGCGUCUAAUACCGGAUAUGACACACCCUCGCAUGGGGAGUGUGUGGAAAGUUUUUCGGUCUGGGAUGGACUCGCGGCCUAUCAGCUUGUUGGUGAGGUAAUGGCUCACCAAGGCGAUGACGGGUAGCCGGCCUGAGAGGGCGACCGGCCACACUGGGACUGGGACACGGCCCAGACUCCUACGGGAGGCAGCAGUGGGGAAUAUUGCACAAUGGGCGCAAGCCUGAUGCAGCGACGCCGCGUGAGGGAUGACGGCCUUCGGGUUGUAAACCUCUUUCAGCAGGGAAGAAGCGCAAGUGACGGUACCUGCAGAAGAAGCACCGGCUAACUACGUGCCAGCAGCCGCCGUAACAC